ACAGAGUCGUAAUGUAGAACAUGGGUGCGUAAAACAGAAAAUGAAACAGAGGCAGAGACAGGGCCUCACAAAAAUGAAGAUACAUAAAAUUGUGUCCAAGAAAAAAAAGAAGAAGAAGAAAUUAAUGCAGUUCUCUGCUUGUUUUGGUUGCUGGAAAGGAGAGUGCAGUUAUAACUGUUACGCAGAACCUGCUUUACUUGUUCAUCAACGGUUUUUGAGUAGAAUUACAGUUUGUUUGUCUAAGCAAGCUUUAAAUCAGCCAUUCAGUUUAGCGUUCUGCAUGGUGUGUGUAUAACACACACACACAUAUCCCCUCUGGACAAACACAAAUAUUCAAGGAUGAGCUGAUUGGCUGCAAGAGUGAAGCCAAAAGAGCUGCUUUUUAUGCUGAUUCAGUGAACAAAGUUAGACUAUAUAACAUCUCCUGUCAAAAAGCAGCAGCUGCAGGAUGGUGCUCUCAAACACACAGGUGUCAUAUUCUCCGGAUACAAUCUUACCUGGACAAAGCCGACCAGUUCUUCCGACUGAUGGACAUAAUUGGACGAAUAAAUGUAAAGUUCCCAGGCGCACUUCGCUCACAGACAGGGAAGAGUCGACUGACUGGCACUCUGAGGGCGGCAGUGAAAUUACAGUCGGUGCGGCACAAUGCAGUCCACCUUUACCCCGGUGCGGUGCACUGGGGCGUCACGUGACCACAAAGACUUGAGGUUGGCCCGGAGAUCCAUAGAGACUUUGUGCUUGGAGCCCAGCAGCGAGCGAAGGAUGGCGUCAGCAGACACACGAAC